UACGUAGGCAGCAAGCGUUGUUCGGAGUUACUGGGCGUAAAGGGUGUGUAGGCGGUUGUUUAAGUUUGGUGUGAAAUCUCCCGGCUACAACCGGGAGGGUGCGCCGAAUACUGAGUGACUAGAGUGCGGGAGAGGAAAGUGGAAUUCCUGGUGUAGCGGUGAAAUGCGUAGAUAUCAGGAGGAACACCGGUGGUGUAGACGG
rnacentral:rRNA from 1 species